rnacentral:rRNA from 1 species
GUAGGUGGCAAGCGUUGUCCGGAAUUAUUGGGCGUAAAGCGCGCGCAGGCGGUCCUUUAAGUCUGAUGUGAAAGCCCACGGCUCAACCGUGGAGGGUCAUUGGAAACUGGGGGACUUGAGUACAGAAGAGGAAAGCGGGAUUCCAAGUGUAGCGGUGAAAUGCGUAGAGAUUUGGAGGAACACCAGUGGCGAAGGCGGCUUUCUGGUCUGUAACUGACGCUGAGGCGCGAAAGCGUGGGGAGCAAACAGGGAUUAGAUACCCUGGUAGUCCACGCCGUAAACGAUGAGUGCUAAGUGUUAGGGGGGUUUCCGCCCCCUUAGUGCUGCAGCUAACGCAUUAAGCACUCCGCCUGGGGAGUACGGCCGCAAGGCUG